CAAGUGACCUGGUCUCUUGUGUCUUUUCUAUGGUGGCAUCCUUUCAUCUGCGAGAGACGGUGGGAACUGCAGCCUAUGAUGUAGAUGGUUUGCAAUGUCUCAUGUGACUGAAUAGUCUAAUCCGAGAUUUGUAAGAUCUUUGGCAGUUGUUGCAAAUGUAUGUAUCUUGAUUGGGAGCUGAUUGCUUCCUACAGGCUCUUUUCUCUUCAAGCUGUAGGAGCCAGCUCCUGUCAUGGACUUUGAUACCCUGAUGGAGAUGGUGGCACCGCUUGUUAUGAUCAUUUGCCAAGACUUCCCAUUGGUCAGGAUCAAUUCCAAAUUCCUUC